rnacentral:rRNA from 1 species
CCUACGGGCGGCAGCAGUGAGGAAGAUUGGUCAAUGGACGAGAGACUGAACCAGCCAAGGAGCGUGAAGGAUGACUGCCCUAUGGGUUGUAAACUUCUUUUAUAUGGGAAUAAAAUGUUCCACGUGUGGGCUUUUGUAUGUACCAUAUGAAUAAGGAUCGGCUAACUCCGUGCCAGCAGCCGCGGUAAUACGGAGGAUCCGAGCGUUAUCCGGAUUUAUUGGGUUUAAAGGGAGCGUAGGUGGAUUGUUAAGUCAGUUGUGAAAGUUUGCGGCUCAACCGUAAAAUUGCAGUUGAAACUGGCAGUCUUGAGUACAGUAGAGGUGGGCGGAAUUCGUGGUGUAGCGGUGAAAUGCUUAGAUAUCACGAAGAACUCCGAUUGCGAAGGCAACUCACUGGACUGCAACUGACACUGAGGCUCGAAAGUGUGGGUAUCAAACAGGAUUAGAUACCCCAGUAGUC